rnacentral:rRNA from 1 species
GUGGGGAAUAUUCCGCAAUGGACGAAAGUCUGACGGAGCAACGCCGCGUGAGUGAUGAAGGUUUUCGGACUGUAAAGCUCUGUUGUUUAGGACGAAAGUGCCUGUUGCAAACAGUUACAGGUAUUGACGGUACUAAACGAGGAAGCCACGGCUAACUACGUGCCAGCAGCCGCGGUAAUACGUAGGUGGCAAGCGUUGUCCGGAAUUAUUGGGCGUAAAGAGCAUGUAGGCGGGAAUCUAAGUCUGUUGUGAAAAUGCGGGGCUCAACCCCGUAUUGGAAUGGAAACUGGGUUGCUUGAGUGCAGGAGAGGAAAGGGGAAUUCCCAGUGUAGCGGUGAAAUGCGUAGAUAUUGGGAGGAACACCAGUGGCGAAGGCGCCUUUCUGGACUGUGUCUGACGCUGAGAUGCGAAAGCCAGGGUAGCGAACGGGAUUAGAAACCCGAGUAGUCC